rnacentral:lncRNA from 1 species
UGAUUUUCUAGGAUUAGAAGUUCCUUUAUGUAUGUUAGACUCAUUUUUUUUUUUUUUUAACUUAACUUUAUAGGCAUGAAUUUUAGUUUUGCAAUACCUGGAUUCCGGGCAUCAUUGCUGUUGCUUGGUGUUGCUGCUUUCACCACCUUGCCCCCAAGUUUGUGAGACACGUCACUACUUACUGGGAUCCCUCUAUGAAAAGAUUCCAUGUCUGAUAUGCAUUUUGUGGAAGGAAUCUGUAGCUAUUGUAAAAGGGGUUGAGUUCUUGAUUUGAUUCUCCAUUUCAUCGCUGUUGGUGUAUAGAAGGGCUACUGAUUUAUGUACAUUAAUCUUGUAUCCAGAAACUUUGCUGAAUUUUUUGUCAGUUCUAGGAACUUUUUGGAGGAGUCUUCAG